UUCCUGCUGAGGCCUCAGUGGAAGUCGUCAUCAGUGAUGCUUUAGGGGUCUAGUGACACCAAUAACCGUGAUCUCAGUGGAAAAGGGCACAGUGUGUCCCAGGCAUUUCGCGUUUAUGUUAAAACGGGUGGAAGAUAGAAAGCCGGCAGAGGCCGGGCUGCUGCACCCGCCUGUUCCGAGGUGGGUAGGGGGUGGGGGGCUGUUCCCAGGAUUCCCCUCUACGCUUUCUGUGGUGACCACGGAUUACUGCGUGACAACGGGAAGCCGGGAGCCGAGGCCCGGUCCCUGACCACGCGUGCCUGGCCACCCCUGCAGGAGGACUGCCACCAGAAGAUCGAUGACCUCUUCUCCGGGAAGCUGUACCUCAUCGGCAUUGCUGCCAUCGUGGUCGCCGUGAUCAUGAUCUUCGAGAUGAUCCUGAGCAUGGUGCUGUGCUGUGGCAUCCGGAACAGCUCCGUGUACUGAGGCCCCGCAGCUCUGGCCACAGGGACCUCUGCAGUGCCCCCUAAGUGACCCGGACACUUCCGAGGGGGCCAUCACCGCCUGUGUAUAUAACGUUUCCGGUAUUACUCUGCUACAUGUAGCCUUUUUACUUUCGGGGUUUUGUUUUUGUUCUGAACUUUCCUGUUACCUUUUCAGGGCUGACGUCACAUGUAGGUGGCGUGUGUGAGUGGAGACGGGCCUGGGUCUUGGGGACUGGAGGGCGGGAGUCCUUCUGCCCCUGGGGUCCCAGGGUGCUCUGCCUGCUCAGCCAGGCCUCUCCUGGGAGCCACUCGCCCAGAGACUCAGCUUGGCCAACCUGGGGGGCUGUGUCCACCCAGCCCGCCCGUCCCGUGGGCUGCACAGCUCACCUUGUUCCCUCCUGCCCCGGUUCGAGAGCCGAGUCUGUGGGCACUCUC
rnacentral:sRNA from 1 species